UACAGGAAUAUGUGAAUUGCACUGCGGGAUUUGCAAACUUUACAGCGCAUCUUCAAAAUGAUACAUGGGUUUGUGUGGGGCCAUGUGAAAAUAAUACGAAUUACUGCAGUAAACGUGGUCAAUGCUUCAAUGAGAUAAAUGGACCACAAUGCCAGUGUGAUCGAUCAAACUUUGAGGAGUACUAUGGAACCAACUGUGAGCUUUACCGCAGAGGAGCCGCUUUCUAUGCUGCUCUGUUUGGGAGUUUAGCAGCUUUUAUUGUGAUUGUCAUUGUUGUGAUUGUUGUGGUUGUGGUUCUUCAUAGAUCCAGCAGCAGGGUUCAUUCUAAAGAAAGUGCCAUUUACGAGGUAUGUUUGCUUUUUGUUGCGUU